rnacentral:rRNA from 1 species
UACGUAGGGGGCAAGCGUUGUCCGGAAUUAUUGGGCGUAAAGAGCGUGUAGGCGGUCCGGUAAGUCAGCUGUGAAAGUCAAGGGCUCAACCCUUGAAUGCCGGUUGAUACUGUCGGGCUAGAGUCCGGAAGAGGCGAGUGGAAUUCCCGGUGUAGCGGUGAAAUGCGCAGAUAUCAGGAGGAACACCGGCGGCGAAGGCGGGUCGCUGGCGGCAACAACUGACGCUGAGGAGCGAAAGCGUGGGGAGCGAACAGGAUUAGAACCUUC